AGAACGAACGCUGGCGGCAUGCCUAAUACAUGCAAGUCGAACGAACUCUUCGGAGUUAGUGGCGCACGGGUGCGUAACGCGUGGGAAUCUACCCUUGGGUUCGGAAUAACAGUUGGAAACGACUGCUAAUACCGGAUGAUGUCGCAAGACCAAAGAUUUAUCGCCCAAGGAUGAGCCCGCGUAGGAUUAGCUAGUUGGUGAGGUAAAGGCUCACCAAGGCGACGAUCCUUAGCUGGUCUGAGAGGAUGAUCAGCCACACUGGGACUGAGACACGGCCCAGACUCCUACGGGAGGCAGCAGUGGGGAAUAUUGGACAAUGGGCGAAAGCCUGAUCCAGCAAUGCCGCGUGAGUGAUGAAGGCCUUAGGUGUAAAGCUCUUUACCCGGGAUGAUAAUGACAGUACCGGAGAAUAAGCUCCGGCUAACUCCGUGCCAGCAGCCGC
rnacentral:rRNA from 1 species